rnacentral:rRNA from 1 species
AUUGAACGCUGGCGGCAUGCCUUACACAUGCAAGUCGAACGGCAGCACGGGUGCUUGCACCUGGUGGCGAGUGGCGAACGGGUGAGUAAUACAUCGGAACGUACCUUAUCGUGGGGGAUAACGCAGCGAAAGCUGUGCUAAUACCGCAUACGCCCUGAGGGGGAAAGCGGGGGAUCGCAAGACCUCGCGCGAUUAGAGCGGCCGAUGCCUGAUUAGCUUGUUGGUGGGGUAAAAGCCCACCAAGGCGACGAUCAGUAGCUGGUCUGAGAGGACGAUCAGCCACACCGGGACUGAGACACGGCCCAGACUCCUACGGGAGGCAGCAGUGGGGAAUUUUGGACAAUGGGGGCAACUCUGAUCCAGCAAUGCCGCGUGAGUGAAGAAGGCCUUCGGGUUGUAAAGCUCUUUUGUCAGGGAAGAAACACCGGCUCUAACACAGUCCGGGAAUGACGGUACCUGAAGAAUAAGCACCGGCUAACUACGUGCCAGCCGCCGCAGUAA